CCUUAAAUGGCAUGAUAAUUAAAAUCCUCUUGCAACAUGGGGAAUCUGUCGCAGUUCCCAAGGGUUUUUUCUUUACUGCAGAUGGAAACAACGGUAUAAAAUGGUAGGUUACUGGCAGAGUAAACAACAGACAUCACUAGAGCAUUUAGACAGCAACUUCUAAAGUAAAAUCAGCAGCAACAACAUGAAGGUCUUCCUGUUGGUCGUACUAGUUGCUCUUGCAACUGCUGACGCAUCUCAGCUGAAAAAUUGCACCCCAAAUCCUCCCGUCAACGAGAGGGUGGACAGCGUCACCUCCACCACCAUCAACAUAUCCUUCGAGGAUCCUGACGACAUGUCCUGCCCCAUCAUAGCCUACAGGACUCACUGGGAGACGGCCUUGUCCUCCAGCAUCACUCCGAAGGACGCAGAAGGAGAAGGAAACCAUCUUUACCACGUGGAGAUCACAGACCUCCUCCCCCACACCAGGUACAGGAUCUACAUCACUUCCAUAUCCUCCGACAUGGUCCAGUCUUCUCCCAAGAUCCUUUACGCAACUACGGAUUGAACGGCUCCUCUGGGAUUUAUGUAAAUGAUUGACUGUCUCCUUCCUCCAUUUAACUACUUUUAACUUAUUCCUAGGAACUUUGAUGUGAUAAAUAAAUUCAUUUAAAGCAU